UACAGAGGGUGCAAGCGUUAAUCGGAAUUACUGGGCGUAAAGCGUGCGUAGACGGUUAUGUAAGUCAGAUGUGAAAGCCCCGGGCUCAACCUGGGAAUUGCAUUUGAGACUCCAUAGCUAGGGUGCGGAAGAGGGAAGCGGAAUUUCCGGUGUAGCGGUGAAAUGCGUAGAUAUCGGAAGGAACACCAGUGGCGAAAGCGGCUUCCUGGUCCAGCACCGACGUUCAGGCACGAAAGCGUGGGGAGCAAACAGG
rnacentral:rRNA from 1 species